ACGACGCCACGCUGUUGGCGGCGUCCUACUCCGGCCCGCAGCUGGACAUCCUGAUCGAUCAGGGCCGAGACGACCAGUUCCUGUCGGCCAGCCAGCUGCUGCCCGAUAACCUGAUCGCCGUCUGCUCCGAGAAGAAGAUCCCCGUCGUGUUCAGACUGCAGCCGGGCUACGACCACAGCUACUUCUUCAUCUACUCGUUCAUCAACGAGCACAUCAAGCACCACGCCAAGUUCCUCAACGCCUGAACCGCCACCACAGAAGAAGACAGCUCUGCCGUCUGGCCGAUAACGUCACGUGUUCCCUUCUUACCAAAUUCUAUAUUUUAAUCAAGUAUUUGAACAGCACUUAACCUGAAGUCUCGAGUAAAAACCAAAACGUAUUCCAUCGGUUGUGUUUUGGGUAAUUGAUCUCAUGUCAAGUCCCAGCUGUAUUUUUCACAAUAAAAGCCUCAGCUGUUCAUUCUU